AAGUCGAGCGAACGGACGAGAAGCUUGCUUCUCUGAUGUUAGCGGCGGACGGGUGAGUAACACGUGGAUAACCUACCUAUAAGACUGGGAUAACUUCGGGAAACCGGAGCUAAUACCGGAUGAUAUUUUGAACCGCAUGGUUCAAAAGUGAAAGACGGUCUUGCUGUCACUUAUAGAUGGAUCCGCGCUGCAUUAGCUAGUUGGUAAGGUAACGGCUUACCAAGGCAACGAUGCGUAGCCGACCUGAGAGGGUGAUCGGCCACACUGGAACUGAGACACGGUCCAGACUCCUACGGGAGGCAGCAGUAGGGAAUCUUCCGCAAUGGGCGAAAGCCUGACGGAGCAACGCCGCGUGAGUGAUGAAGGUCUUCGGAUCGUAAAACUCUGUUAUUAGGGAAGAACAUAUGUGUAAGUAACUGUGCACAUCUUGACGGUACCUAAUCAGAAAGCCACGGCUAACUACGUGCCAGCAGCCGCGGUAAUACGUAGGUGGCAAGCGUUAUCCGGAAUUAUUGGGCGUAAAGCGCGCGUAGGCGGUUUUUUAAGUCUGAUGUGAAAGCCCACGGCUCAACCGUGGAGGGUCAUUGGAAACUGGAAAACUUGAGUGCAGAAGAGGAAAGUGGAAUUCCAUGUGUAGCGGUGAAAUGCGCAGAGAUAUGGAGGAACACCAGUGGCGAAGGCGACUUUCUGGUCUGUAACUGACGCUGAUGUGCGAAAGCGUGGGGA
rnacentral:rRNA from 1 species